GAUGAACGCUGGCGGCGUGCCUAAUACAUGCAAGUCGAGCGAACAGAUAAGGAGCUUGCUCCUUUGACGUUAGCGGCGGACGGGUGAGUAACACGUGGGUAACCUACCUAUAAGACUGGGAUAACUUCGGGAAACCGGAGCUAAUACCGGAUAAUAUUUCGAACCGCAUGGUUCGAUAGUGAAAGAUGGUUUUGCUAUCACUUAUAGAUGGACCCGCGCCGUAUUAGCUAGUUGGUAAGGUAACGGCUUACCAAGGCGACGAUACGUAGCCGACCUGAGAGGGUGAUCGGCCACACUGGAACUGAGACACGGUCCAGACUCCUACGGGAGGCAGCAGUAGGGAAUCUUCCGCAAUGGGCGAAAGCCUGACGGAGCAACGCCGCGUGAGUGAUGAAGGUCCUCGGAUCGUAAGACUCUGUUAUUAGGGAAGAACAUACGUGUAAGUAACUGUGCACGUCUUGACGGUACCUAAUCAGAAAGCCACGGCUAACUACGUG
rnacentral:rRNA from 1 species